rnacentral:sRNA from 1 species
AUCGCUUCUCGGCCUUUUGGCUAAGAUCAAGUGUAAUCGACUGGGUCUAUGGUAUUUUUGUUAUAAUAGCCCAA